rnacentral:rRNA from 1 species
AGUGAGGAAUAUUGGUCAAUGGGCGCAAGCCUGAACCAGCCACGUCGCGUGAAGGAAGACGGCCCUACGGGUUGUAAACUUCUUUUGUAAGGGAAUAAAGUGUAGUACGUGUACUAUUUUGCAUGUACCUUACGAAUAAGGAUCGGCUAACUCCGUGCCAGCAGCCGCGGUAAUACGGAGGAUCCGAGCGUUAUCCGGAUUUAUUGGGUUUAAAGGGUGCGCAGGCGGGAGAUUAAGUCGGCGGUGAAAUUUUGCAGCUUAACUGUAAAAGUGCCUUCGAAACUGGUUUCCUUGAGUGUAGAUGAAGUAGGCGGAAUUUGUGGUGUAGCGGUGAAAUGCAUAGAUAUCACGAGGAACUCCGAUUGCGCAGGCAGCUUACUAAACUACUACUGACGCUCAGGCACGAAGGCGUGGGGAUCAAACAGGAUUAGAUACCCUGGUAGUCCACGCAGUAAACGAUGAUUACUCGCUGUUUGCGAUAUACAGUAAGCGGCUUAGCGAAAGCGUUAAGUAAUCCACCUGGGGAGUACGUUCGCAAGAAUG